rnacentral:lncRNA from 1 species
UUGGCCUUGUCCUUUUAAAACCUUGAGGGACAUACCCAAGUUGGUUAUAGGUGGAAUUCUCUCAUAGUGUUUGGCUGAAGAUGUUAAACUGAGCGCUUGUUGGGAGACAACUCAGCUUAUGCAAAACUUUUAGUUUCUUUUUAUUUUGUAAGAAUAUUUAGAAAGAUAAUUAGUCAAGUUGAAUCUCUAUAGUAGAGUGGAUGAGUGAUGCUACUAGCCA